AAGUCGUAACAAGGUUACCGUAGGUGAACCUGCGGUAGGAUCAUUUCCAACAAAAACUAUACCAACCCACGUGUGAUCCGAGAUUGUUAUUUACUCUUCGUCGGCGCGUGUGUGUGUGUGUUUGCGCACCGCACCGCCCGAUGGAGAGGCCUUGUUGAACUACCUUGUCAAAAGGUUGAUUGCUGUCGUUUUUGGCUUACACAAAAUCCAAAAUGAUCAGACAACUUUUAACGGUGGAUCUCUUGGCUCGU
rnacentral:misc_RNA from 1 species